GACGAACGCUGGCGGCGUGCUUAACACAUGCAAGUCGAACGAUGAACCCGGAGCUUGCUCCGGUGGAUUAGUGGCGAACGGGUGAGUAACACGUGAGUAACCUGCCCUUGACUCUGGGAUAACUGCGGGAAACUGUAGCUAAUACCGGAUACGACCCUCGGCGGCAUCGCCAGGGGGUGGAAAGAAUUUCGGUCAAGGAUGGACUCGCGGCCUAUCAGCUAGGUGGUGAGGUAACGGCUCAACAAGGCGACGACGGGUAGCCGGCCUGAGGGGGUGACCGGCCACACUGGGACUGAGACACGGCCCAGACUCCUACGGGAGGCAGCAGUGGGGAAUAUUGCACAAUGGGCGCAAGCCUGAUGCAGCAACGCCGCGUGAGGGAUGACGGCCUUCGGGUUGUAAACCUCUUUUAGUAGGGAAGAAGCGAAAGUGACGGUACCUGCAGAAAAAGCACCGGCUAACUACGUGCCAGCAGCCGCAGUAA
rnacentral:rRNA from 1 species